CGGCAUUUUUGUUGUUUCGCUAUACUUUCCGCUUUAAAAGAGUAAUAUUGAAGCAUGUACUGGUCUAAUUAUUUUAAAAACAUGCCUAAGCCACGACAAAGUAUUCAAGGUAAAUGUUUUUCGUCUUUGUUUUGUAUUUUUUUACAUUUGUAGCUACGAAAUUGGCGUCCCCAAUUUUAACGAAAUUUGGGAUGCAUUUUUCACAGUUUAGUGCUUGAAAUAUUUGCUAAAAUUGACUGGGAAUACUUAGAAAUUUCAUCGUAGAAUGGCGUAGUUAUAUUUAUUUGCUCUUUGACUAAAAUGUUUAGCUGUAUUAUUGCUAAACAUGCCGUUUUUGAGAAUUUGGUUUGCAACUAGGUUUCAACAUCCAACCACGCCAUCAGCCCAUUGAAAACAUUAGGUCACGUCAGCUAGUUUCCUAUCCAUUUAUUU
rnacentral:lncRNA from 1 species